rnacentral:rRNA from 1 species
CGGGUGAGUAACACGUGGAUAACCUACCUAUAAGACUGGGAUAACUUCGGGAAACCGGAGCUAAUACCGGAUAAUAUAUUGAACCGCAUGGUUCAAUAGUGAAAGACGGUUUUGCUGUCACUUAUAGAUGGAUCCGCGCUGCAUUAGCUAGUUGGUAAGGUAACGGCUUACCAAGGCAACGAUGCGUAGCCGACCUGAGAGGGUGAUCGGCCACACUGGAACUGAGACACGGUCCAGACUCCUACGGGAGGCAGCAGUG